rnacentral:tRNA from 1 species
GGCCUGGUAGCCAAGUGGUAAGGCAUCGGUUUGCAAAACCGCCAUUCGCUGGUUCGAUCCCAGUCCAGGCCUCCA